rnacentral:rRNA from 1 species
AAAAGAAACUAACCAGGAUUCCCUCAGUAGCGGCGAGCGAAGAGGGAAGAGCCCAGCGCCGAAUCCCCGCCCGACGGGCGGACGUGGGAAAUGUGGCGUACAGAAGACCGCCUUUGCCCGGUGUCGCUCGGGGGCCUGAGUCCUUCUGAUCGAGGCUCAGCCCGUGGACGGUGUGAGGCCGGUAACGGCCCCCGUCGCGCCGGGGUCCGGUCUUCUCGGAGUCGGGUUGCUUGGGAAUGCAGCCCAAAGCGGGUGGUAAACUCCAUCUAAGGCUAAAUACCGGCA